GAUGAACGCUGGCGGCGUGCCUAAUACAUGCAAGUCGAGCGAACAGAUAAGGAGCUUGCUCCUUUGACGUUAGCGGCGGACGGGUGAGUUACACGUGGAUAACCUACCUAUAAGACUGGGAUAACUUCGGGAAACCGGAGCUAAUACCGGAUAACAUAUUGAACCGCAUGGUUCAAUAGUGAAAGGCGGCUUUGCUGUCACUUAUAGAUGGAUCCGCGCCGUAUUAGCUAGUUGGUAAGGUAACGGCUUACCAAGGCAACGAUACGUAGCCGACCUGAGAGGGUGAUCGGCCACACUGGAACUGAGACACGGUCCAGACUCCUACGGGAGGCAGCAGUAGGGACUCUUCCGCAAUGGGCGAAAGCCUGACGGAGCAACGCCGCGUGAGUGAUGAAGGUCUUCGGAUCGUAAAACUCUGUUAUCAGGGAAGAACAAAUGUGUAAGUAACUGUGCACAUCUUGACGGUACCUGAUCAGAAAGCCACGGCUAACUACGUG
rnacentral:rRNA from 1 species